AUGCUGCUGUUGGUGGGGAGCUGACUGGAGCAGCAGCUGUAGGGGGGGAGCUUACUGGAGUGACGGCGGCGGCAGGUGGAGUAGCGACGGGAGCUGCUGCUGGUGGAGUGGAGGUCGGGGCUGCGGCUGUUGGUGGAGAUGCGGUGGUGGCUGGAGAUGAAGUGUUGGUGGAUGGUGCGGCGGCGGGGACGGUGGGAGUGGAGGUGGGAGUGGCGGCGGGAGCUUGUCCGCCGACUCCGGCGACGAUUAAGGCCACCAAUGCGAGAAGAAGCAUGCUUUUGCGCUCCAUUUCUUGAGAUAGAUUGAGAGAGAGGAUUUGAGUUUGCAGAGAAGUGAAGGAGGGAGGUGAGAUUUCAGAUAUGAGAGGCGGAGAUUAAUGGCGGAGGGGCGAAG
rnacentral:lncRNA from 1 species